rnacentral:tRNA from 2 species
GCAUCAUUAGCUCAGUUGGUAGAGCAUACGACUCUUAAUCGUACGGUCGCCGGUUCGAAUCCAGCAUGGUGCACCA